rnacentral:rRNA from 1 species
UACAGAGGGGGCAAGCGUUAUUCGGAAUUAUUGGGCGUAAAGAGCGUGUAGGCGGUCCGGUAAGUCCGCUGUGAAAGUCCAGGGCUCAACCCUGGAAUGCCGGUGGAUACUGCCGGGCUAGAGUCCGGAAGAGGCGAGUGGAAUUCCUGGUGUAGCGGUGAAAUGCGCAGAUAUCAGGAGGAACACCGAUGGCGAAGGCAGCUCGCUGGGACGGUACUGACGCUGAGACGCGAAAGCGUGGGGAGCAAACAGG